rnacentral:lncRNA from 1 species
CAAAACAUCUGUCAUCCUCCCUCCCUUUUUUCCCCGAGGUAAUUUUUCCAGGUCCUGUGGCUGCUUCAUCCUGUACAUUCCCUAAAAUGUCUCCUCAAUCUUCUUUCCUAUUUCAGUAGUGACUCCAAGUGCUUCUUACCCCCAGCCUGGGCUUUUAUAACAACCUCUCAACUGGUCUCCAGACCCCGAUCCAUCCCACAAACCACUACCAUAUGAAGUUUCUGAAAGCAGUGCUCUGGCCGAGUUGUAUUUUUUGCUCUGAAACCUCGCACGGCUUCGCUUGUCUGUGGAAUUCAGUACUGAAUCAAUUAAGAGAAACUCAGCUGAGUCGUGAUUGCACCCAGGGGUUGGGAGGUGACAAGGCUGGAGCCCCAUGUCCUGGAACUGUGCCUGGAACAGCACUCUCUCUUCAGAGCACUGAGAGGAUGCCAUGAGAAGCCUGCACUCACUGAGCCCCAUGAGCCCUUCUGGUCUUGAAGAAUCUUCUCCACUCCUGUGCCUUUUUCAUUUCGGCCUCCUCUCAUCCUCUAAGAAACCAAACUUCCUUUCCUCUCCCUGAGCUAAUCCCUUCAAUGAACUUAAGAUUUGGGACAAAAGUCAAGGAGGGAGGUUGUUUUCAGGGGGCUUCUACAUAAA